GAGGCCUGGCCCCGCGGCCGCCCGCCGCCGCCGCCGCCGCCCUGGCCCGCCCGGCCCGCCCGGCCCGCCGCGGGGCCACGGGCCCGACACGGCGCCCCGGAUUCGCCUCGGCUCGGCCGCGCGUGUACCUCCCUUCCUCCGUGAUCUCCGACACUGGUAAAGUGGAAGGAACUCAGGUACCCUGCCACAGAAAAGUACUGGGACUGGGCAAGAGAAAAAGAAGGGAAAUAAGGCAGUUUUGUUUGGCCAGCGACCGACACUUCCUGCUCCCGCCUGGGGAAGGUCCUGUCUCCCUGCGGCCCGGCCCGUCUCCCUCGCUGCCACGAGCUUCUUCCGUCGCUCAUCCCCGUGGGGGACCUCGCUCUCUCUGACCGUCGGACAGUUCUGCCUGAGCUCUGACUGACCCCUUCUACGUCUCCCUAAUCCGAGAUCCCGCACCUUCUGGAUCGUUCCUGGGAAUCAAUUCAUGCGCUUCUCGCAUGCUCUCCGGCUUUCUCAGAGCCAAGUGUAGCGGGCCUGGGAAACGGGACGUGGGCACCUCGGAGACACAUGGGGAACCCCAGGCCAGCGGCCGGAACAGAAAGGGCGUCUGGCUCCAGCACCGCCACACCCACCUCUUUUCCUACAGGACACAGAAGCAGCCAAGCUCAAAACAUAUCUUAAGUCUACAUGAGCAUA